rnacentral:rRNA from 1 species
GACGAACGCUGGCGGCGUGCUUAACACAUGCAAGUCGAACGGUAAGGCCCUUCGGGGUACACGAGUGGCGAACGGGUGAGUAACACGUGGGUGAUCUGCCCUGCACUUCGGGAUAAGCCUGGGAAACUGGGUCUAAUACCGGAUAGGACCACUGCCUGCAUGGGUGGUGGUGGAAAGCUUUUGCGGUGUGGGAUGGGCCCGCGGCCUAUCAGCUUGUUGGUGGGGUGAUGGCCUACCAAGGCGACGACGGGUAGCCGGCCUGGGAGGGUGACCGGCCACAGUGGGACUGAGAUACGGCCCAGACUCCUACGGGAGGCAGCAUGGGGGAAUAUUGCACAAUGGGCGCAAGCCUGAUGCAGCGACGCCGCGUGAGGGAUGACGGCCUUCGGGUUGUAAACCUCUUUCAGCAUCGACGAAGCGAAAGUGACGGUAGGUGCAGAAGAAGGACCGGCCAACUACGUGCCAGCCGCCGCCGUAA